CUGAAUGAUGUUAACUUUGAGGAUGAUCUCCAGGAUGGGUUGGCAAAGUGAGGCUCACCAUACUGUUUCCAUUACAGUCUGUUAUUAGUAGCUAAAAACACUUGCUAUUGUCCUUUUCUAAUAAGAUCAAAGAAGGUCUUGGAAAUCAGAGAAAACUACUGUAGGGUCAAUUAAGACUGAAGAUGCCAAACAACAAAACUGAUGAAAAGGCAAUUAUUUUGAUGUUUUCAGAAGCUGCUACGUGGCUAAGCAAACACUUUUUGAUUUUAAAAAACUUAAUCUUUCAUAAUGACCAAAAAUGACCUCCAAGGACUGCAAAUAAAGGUCAGUUCAAUGUCUGGUAAACAGCUGCCAACCAAUGAAUAGAUAAACACAAAUCAUUAUAUAUCUCAGCCACACACCACUCUACUUCAAGCAAUAUUCAAUACAAAUUCUAAUCUAAGUACGACUCUUGGGAGUUUGUCGAUCUCAGUCACAGAGUGACUGUUUGAUAGUGUAACUUCCCUUCCUCACAAAUGGAAGAUCCUUCUCGUCAAUGACUCCAGAAGGCAUCUGUUCAUUAGGAAGAUUAGCAUCUAUCUACAUACAGUGUCUAUCUAAUCGGGAGCUUUCAUGAUAGGUGACUUGUGCUGGUGGGAAUCCGACUAGGAACCAUGAGGUUGCAGGUUCAAUCCCUGGCCUUGCUCAGUGGGUUAACGUUCCGGCGUUGCCGUGAGCUGUGGUGUAGGUUGCAAACAUGGCUCGGAUACCGUGUUGCCAUGGCUCUGGUGUAGGUGGGCGGCUACAGCUCCAAUUCGACCCCUAGCCUGGGAAUCUCCAUAUGCCGCAGGAAGCGGCCCUAGAAAAUAGCAAAAAGACCAAAAAAAUUAAAAAGAAAAGAAAGAAAGGGAAUGUCCAUGACAGAGCUCUGCACUGAAUGAUACUCACCUAAUCAAGGUAAACCCUACCUGGUGAUGUAACUGAAAAACCUGACUGUAUGCGGAGAUGAAGGCAGUGGGGCAGAUGGGGAAGAGGAUGAAAGUUAAACUGGAUUCAACAAGAAGUCAAAACUGACCUCAAACCGAUCGUCGAAAAAUUAGUAAGGUAGGAGUUCCCGCUGUGGCUCAGCAGGUUAAGAACCCGACUAGUAUCCAUAAUGACUCAGGUUUGAUCCCUGGCCUUGCUCAGUGGGUUCAGGAUUCAGCGUUGCAGCAAGCUGUAGUGUAGGAUCCUUAACCCACCGCGUGAGAGGGAUUGAACCCGCAUCAUCAUGGAUAUGAGUCAGGUUAGUAACCUGCUGUACCACAAUAACGCCAAUAAAUACGUUUUUGAAAUUAAAAAUACAGUCAGCUAUUUCCAUAUCCUUUAUAGAUAAUAUGAGGUCUUAAGAAGAACAGCUGAAAUGGCAGUAAUUACAGCACAGUGCUCUGAACUCAGACACCAAACCACUCCCCUGGGGCACUUAGGUAACUCGCUUAUCAAUUAAAUUAUAUGCUGUCUUGAACUAUUAACUGUCUUGCAUACAUUUACCUUUCUCCUCUCCACAAAGUUUCUAAGAGGCGAGGCGUCCACAGUCCUUUCUCAGUCCUGGUUCUAGAAUCUGGUGCGCCCAAAUUCUAGAGGCCAUGCGGUGGGGGGGAUAAUCAAACUGUGACAUGAGACAUGGGUUCAAAUGCCAGCUCUGUGACGAUCUCUGAGCCCUGAGGUCCUGAGAAAGUUGACAGAUUGACCUGAACUUCAGCUCCCAUACGUGUAAAAUGGAGACCAGGAUGGAUAUGAAACACUCCAUAAAACACUGUUUAAAGACCUGAGGGAGGUGACACACCUAAUGCACCAAGCUCGGGCUGGGCGCUUGGGUGCUUAACGAACAGCAGCAAUUCCCCCACUGCAGCAAAACAACCGCACAGUGCUAGUCUGUCCCACUAGUUCAACCACACGCCUUCCUUAGGAAGUGACAUGGACUAACACUCCACUCAAACUGACUCACAUAGGUUAGACACGGAGUUCCUUUCCCCUCUUUGGCUCUGGUGGUUGUACGAAGUGGGAGAGGCUAAUAUGUUUAAGCUGCUCUGAGCCACCCGGGUUGAAGCAAGCAGAUGGCAGGAUAAAAGCCUACAAGGGCAGGUCACUGCACUACCUCCCUGUGUGACACAGACCGACUCUGACUCUCAGAUCCUGAAAAUAUUUUGUUCUUGACUCUGACAGGUAUGUCCUAAGAUCCUGCUGAGCAAAUGUGAGGAACCCCUCUGGAAAAAGCCUUUGAGGCUGCAAUUCCUUGGACCUCAAAAGAUGAGCGUGGAACACGACCUCUGUCUCCCCCAUGGCUCACUUCCCAGCCUUCACCCCAACCUGAAUAUCAUCCUUUACCAAACUUAACAAAAGGAACUGACUCACAAGAAAGGAGGCAUCGUGGAUGACUUUUUUUACUGCAGGCUGUGGAGGCACGGGCAUCUCUUCUAAGGUAUAAUUUUAUUUAGUUUUUUGUUUGUUUGUUUCCUUUUUAGGGUCAUGCCUGCGGCAUAUGGAAGUUCCCAGUCAAGGGGUUGAAUAAGAGCUGCAGCUGCAGGCCUACACCACAGCCACAGCCACGCAGGAUCCGAGCCACAUCUGCCAGCUAUACUACAGCUCAUGGCAACACUGGAUCUUUAACCCACUGAGCGGGACCAGGGAUCGAACCCUCAAACUCAUGGUCACGAGUCAGAUUCGUUUCCACUGCACCACGACAGGAACUCCCACAAGGUUACAAUUUGAAAUUCCAAAGUGAGUGUGGCCGAAACACCAUGUCCGUUCGUUCACUCCUCACCCGGGACACCUAAGCACCCAUCCGAGGCCAGCUGCUGUGCCAGGUGCUGAGGAGGCAGAGGUGAAGACUGAAAUCUGGAGGGGGGUGCCCAUCCCAGGACACGGGGAGUGCAGCGAACCGUCCCCCAAGACUAAGGCACACGUGCAAAGGUGUGGAUGCUUUGCUGCAGCUGCAAAGCCGGGUGCGUGAGUCAGGAUUACAACAGAUGAGUCUGGGACAACGAUCCCAACUGGCCCCGAGAGCAGUGCCAGGGAGUGGUACCUUCCUUGACUGUUAGCUCUCCUCCCAUUUUAGGGAGUAAUGUUGAGACUUGAGAGUCUCCUGUGGGUGUACACAGGUUUGUUCUCACAAAAUCAACUGCGCUUCUCUCCCCUCAAAGAAUGGAAAAAUAAAACACCACCAUCCAUGGAGACUUCUUUUCCUUCCUAUUUCCUGGCUCCUUUUGGGGGUGGCGGGUGGGAACCUGGGGCAUGGUAUUCAUGAAAGCCCAACAGCUCAGGAGACCCAGAGCUGCUGAUCACACAUCCAGUAACAGUCUGAAAGCGGCUGCAAAAAUGAGGUGGAUUUGGCAGGAAGCAGUAUCAGUCCAUUCCCCCCACUGGCUUCAAGAAAGUACUAGAACACCAGCAGCUGAGACUGAUGUAGUCAUCUGUCUAAAUCUAAAUCCUAAAUCUGUUCAUAUUUAUUCAAAGGACAAAAAAAAAGAAAAAGAAAAAAAGGCAAACCCCCAUCUCUCUCCCCAUUUAGAAAUGAGGAGGAAUUCCCGUCGUGGCUCAGUGGUUAACGAAUCCAACUAGGAACCAUGAGGUUGCGGGUUUGAUCCUUGGCCUUGCUCAGUGGGUUAAGGAUCCAGCGUUGCCAUGAGCUGUGGUGUAGGUUGCAGAUGCAGCUCGGAUCCUGCGUUGCUGUGGCUCUGGUGUAGGCUGGCGGCUACAGCUCUGAUUUGACCCCUAGCCUAGGAAUCUCCAUAUGCCGUGGAAACGGCCCAAGAAAUGGCAAAAAGACCAAAAAAAAAAAAAAAAAAGUGAGGA
rnacentral:lncRNA from 1 species